rnacentral:rRNA from 1 species
UACGUAGGGUGCAAGCGUUGUCCGGAAUUAUUGGGCGUAAAGAGCUCGUAGGCGGUCUGUUGCGUCGGCUGUGAAAACCCGGGGCUCAACCCCGGGCCUGCAGCCGAUACGGGCAGACUAGAGUUCGGCAGGGGAGACUGGAAUUCCUGGUGUAGCGGUGAAAUGCGUAGAUAUCAGGAGGAACACCUGCGGUGUAGACGGCUUACUGGACCAGAACUGACGCUGAGGCACGAAAGCGUGGGGAGCAAACAGG